rnacentral:lncRNA from 1 species
GGACAUAACCGAGCUCUCGUCGCACUGAUUCGCAUAGGUUUGAAGCCUACCUAAAAUUAUCAAACAAACAAACAGUGAGUUUUUUUUUAUAACUCAGUGUGUAACUCAUAAGAAACAAAAAUUCAAAUUUAAUCACCCAACAGAACAUAUACAGUCAUAUUUCUUAUACAAAAUCAGAAUCAUGUCAAAGUAGUACAAAUACAGAUAAAUAUAAUCCGAUCCCCCAUCCUCUACACACCAGCUCUGAUCAUUCCAGCGUACCAUGUAGGGUAUAAAACACCCACCUAACCCUACACACAACUUAGUGUCCUUACGACACUUUUCAGAAUAAUCGCAGCAAUGUUGCCAGUAUAAUGGCGAGUUAACGCCUCACACAGAACACUUCCUCCACAUAAUACAUAAUCCGCCCCAUAGCCAGAUAUAAAUAGAAUACUAGAAAUAAUAGAAAUAAUAGAUACCGGAAUUUACAUGUCAUGCAUGCUGGUAUAACAGAUAUUGAACAUGCUUAUGCAUAACAGAUCAUACAUAUCACAUUACAUUACAUGCAUUUAGACGUUAUUUAUGUCAAAUUUCAUACUAACAAAUUAGUAGAUUUCAUGCUUUAAAGCUUAUAUAAACACAUACCGUCCCCACAAAAGGCCCAUAGUCAAUUGGGACGACAUGUAUGACAUUAGGAAAAUUUUCUGAAAUUUGGGCCUACACGGCCCAAAAUGGCAUAAAUUGUGUGGCUCACACGGCCUCGCACACGGCCUAUCAUACAGUCAUGUGUCGCAGACGGCCAGGUACACGAUCGUGUGGCAUCAACAGGCCCCAAUUUUAACUUUCGUCAUUCACCAAUUUUCGAGUUUCUCGUUACACACUAGUAUUUCUCGACACUGAUUCCAACACGAGCAACCCAAAAUCUAUAUACGUCAAUAAGAAGCUUAGUUAAUAUGAUUUCUCACACUUAAAAUACGAGUCAACAUUAACAACAACCACAUUUUAAUGAAAAAAUUUGACUCAUGCCUCAAAUUAAAUUCUUACCCUCACGAAGAUAGCAAUCCACGUACGUUUAAUUCACUAGGGAUUAGUCGAAUGUUCCAUGCACCUCUCCUAACAGAAGAAAUAAAUCAUAAUCAUCAUUCAACAUAGUUUGCAUCACUCUCAAACGAAAAUCGAGUAUUAAAACUAAAGCUCUUACCACAGAAAAUUACAAAGAUAACACCCAAAAUACUUACGCUCAAAUCUAGUGACACCACACAGUGCUCAUAUGAAUGAUGGAUAGAAUAAAAAAAAGAAAGGAAAUAAGGGGAAGAAGGAAGGCAGCGUGAAAAAUAGAAAAUAAAGAAACAAUUGUGAACAGGGGUGUCGUUCUAUGGAGACCAAAUUAACAGUUUGAAAAAAAUAAAAUAAAAUAAGAUCCACUUCCUUAUAAUUAAGCCACCUUAAUCCCCAACCCAAAACUAACUUCUAACAACCCACUUCUAUCCACUUACCAUCUUUUCUAGAAUUUUAAACCUCAUCCAACACCAUUAACAAACAUCCCAUUAAAGAGUAACAAAAAUAAAUUCAAUUUCUCACAACAAGACCCGAAGACCAAACCCCAAACACAUACUAACUACUAACCACUGAGAUAGACACUUAAUUGUGUUAGUUUUUAACAAAUAACAAUUCAUAUUCUUUGGGACAUCACACCCCGCGAUCACGCAUUUUUUAUUUCUGGCCUAUUGCAUUUUAUUUGGAGAGGCAAGUAGGGGGCACAGAUAAUGAAUGAGAUUUUGCAAGAAUAUGAAAAUUUCUUUAGAUAGUGCAUUAAUUUUGAAAAGUCAUUUAUUUUAGUACAAAUGUUCAGGAACAAACAAGAAACGAUAUCUCCUAAUCUAUAAGGGUUUGACACAAAAUGAACACUGGAAGGUAUCUUGGAUUACCUAGUAUGGUGGGACGACAAAAGAAAGCAACGUUUUAGGGGUUGAAAGAUAGAUUAUGCAAUCGAGUGAGCAAUUGGUGUAUCUAGCCUCUCUCCUAGGGAGGUAAAAAAGUGUUUAUAAAGAGUAUUUUACAGGUUAAACCAACUUCUUUGAUGUUACGUUUUCUAUUACCCAAUUCUGUUUAUUGCGAAUUAGAAGUAAUUAUUAGUAAAUUCUUCUGGUAGAAGCACAAAGAUAAGCGAGCGAUUCAUUUGUGUAGUUGGACUUUAAAGGUGAAAUACUACUCGUUAUCUACGUUCUUAGAAGGAAUAAUCAUUCUUAUACAUGGAGGAGUAUUUGGGCCACAAAGGGCUUCCUUAAAUUCAGGAUGUGCUAGAUGGUUGGAACGGGGUAGAAUAAUAGAAUAUAUCUGUGAGGGAUGAUGCAUGGAUCCCUGAAUCUGUAGAUUAUAAAGUUCAGAAUCGGGUUACAAAUAGUUCGAUAACUAGAGUGUCAGAUUUGAUUAUUCAAGAAACCAAAUAAUGGAGGGAGGAUUUGAUUACCAAUGUUUUUGCGAUUGAAGAUGUAGAAUGCAUUCUAUGUAUUCUUCUCUCAAAAAACCCACAAGAAGACAAAUUUGUAUGGAAAAGAGAAGCGACGGAGGAAUAUACAAUGUGAAGUGGGUACAAGAAGGCAAUACAAGACACCAAUACAAACAAUGAGCCAUAUCUUUACAGAAAUUAUUACAAGAAAUUAUGGCAUACAGAAGCACUUAGCAAAGUUAAAAUUACAAUUUGGAAGGGGUUUAAUAAUUUUAUCCCGACUCUCAACAACCUAGCCUUCAGGAGACUAGGGAAUGAAACGACAUGCCCCAUAUGUUAGAAUGGUUGCGAAACUCUUGAACAUGUGUUUUGGGAUUGUGUAACUGCAAAGGAAGAAUGGGGUAAGUUAGGAAUUUGGUGGCCGCAAAAUCUUUCAGUAGUCGAAUAUAGGGAAUGAAUGACAUACCUAUUAGAUAAUGGAACAUGUGGGUAGAAGAGCUUAAUAAUCGAGAUUAUUUGGGCAAUCUGGACGUCUAGGAAUCGGGUCCUACAUGAAAGACAUAAUCAACUGGCUCAAUAAAUAGUGGAAAUGGUGAAAAAAUAUACAAAAGAAUGGGGAGAGGUUAAAAAACGCUUAUCUAUUAGAAUUCCUGUACUAGAAGGAUAGGGACCAUCGGUGUCAGAUCUGAUCAGAAUAAAAUUUGAUGGAGCUUUUCAAAGGAGCACAAAUGAGUCGUGUACAAGACUGGUAGUGAGGAGGCCUGAUAGGACGGUGUUAGGCUUGAAAACAAUAAUCAACAAAUGUAUUUCAUCAAUGUUUGCGGUAAAAACGGUUGCAUGUCUCUAGGUGACACAAAUAGAAGUAGAUUUAGGAUUUCAAAGGGUUGAGAUUAAGGGAAAUGCUCUUGUAAUAAUAAUAAAAGACAAAUAUAAAUAGGAGAGAUGAAUCAGUGAUUAGUGCUUACAUCUAAGAUAUUAGAAAAUUGAAUGAAGUUUUCCGUACCUAUCGUUUCUCAUAUACUGAAAGAGGAAGAAAUGGGUUGGCUCACAUGCUAGCAACGGAGGGUAUGAAGAGGAAAAAACAAAUCUGUCUGGUAGGAGAAGUGUCCCCGUUUGCAAGGAGGAAAAUGGAGGAGGGAAUCUUAAUCAGCCGAUGAAGCAUUGGGGCAAAGAUGGGGCAUAAAAGGUACCUUAGGGAAAACAAUAGUGUAUUCUUUGAGAAGCUAAAAUGGAAAUGAUAGAGAUGAAGGCUUCGUUCUUUAUUGCAUCUGAGAUGGGCUUUUACAUGUAAAAGCACUUUUCUCUGAAAAGCAAUAAAGAACGAACUUCAUCUCUUGCAAAUUUCCAGCGUUUUUGAAGUGCUUUUGGGUAGAUGAAAAAGGAGAUUUUUUAAGCUUUUUCAGCCAAGAAGUGCUUUUGGGCUGGUCUUUUACUUUUUUAGCCACACAACACACAAACAACGUUGGUUCUUUGUUUUCAUCCAAAAU